UGGGGAAUAUUGCACAAUGGGCGAAAGCCUGAUGCAGCAACGCCGCGUGAGUGAUGAAGGCCUUCGGGUUGUAAAGCUCUGUCUUUUGGGACGAUAAUGACGGUACCAAAGGAGGAAGCCACGACUAACUACGUGCCAGCAGCCGCGGUAAUACGUAGGUGGCAAGCGUUGUCCGGAUUUACUGGGCGUAAAGGAUGCGUAGGCGGAUUUUUAAGUGAGAUGUGAAAUACCCGGGCUUAACUUGGGUGCUGCAUUUCAAACUGGGAAUCUAGAGUGCGGGAGAGGAGAAUGGAAUUCCUAGUGUAGCGGUGAAAUGCGUAGAGAUUAGGAAGAACACCAGUGGCGAAGGCGAUUCUCUGGACCGUAACUGACGCUGAGGCAUGAAAGCGUGGGUAGCAAACAGGAUUAGAUACCCUGGUAGUCCACGCCGUAAACGAUGAGUACUAGGUGUAGGAGGUAUCGACCCCUUCUGUGCCGCAGUUAACACAAUAAGUACUCCGCCUGGGAAGUACGAUCGCAAGAUUAAAACUCAAAUGAAUUGACGGGGUC
rnacentral:rRNA from 1 species